rnacentral:rRNA from 1 species
GAUGAACGCUGGCGGCGUGCCUAAUACAUGCAAGUCGAGCGAACGGACGAGAAGCUUGCUUCUCUGAUGUUAGCGGCGGACGGGUGAGUAACACGUGGAUAACCUACCUAUAAGACUGGGAUAACUUCGGGAAACCGGAGCUAAUACCGGAUAAUAUUUUGAACCGCAUGGUUCAAAAGUAAAAGACGGUCUUGCUGUCACUUAUAGAUUGAUCCGCGCUGCAUUAGCUAGUUGGUAAGGUAACGGCUUACCAAGGCAACGAUGCAUAGCCGACCUGAGAGGGUGAUCGGCCACACUGGAACUGAGACACGGUACAGACUCCGACGGGAGGCAGCAGUAGGGAAUCUUCCGCAAUGGGCGAAAGCCUGACGGAGCAACGCCGCGUGAGUGAUGAAGGUCUUCGGAUCGUAAAACUCUGUUAUUAGGGAAGAACAUAUGUGUAAGUAACUGUGCACAUCUUGACGGUACCUAAUCAGAAAGCCACGGCUAACUACGUG